UGAUGACUGUCUUGGGAAUCAUUGUACCAUGUUGAUGAAAGCACAUUUGAACCCUUUUCCACCUCACUGCUGAGCCAGGCCCAU